AGGGUUGUGGCUCAGUGGUAGAGCACUUGCCUCAUAAGUGUGAGGCACUGGGUUUAAUCUCAGCAUCACAU
rnacentral:tRNA from 1 species